rnacentral:rRNA from 1 species
UACGAAGGUCCCAAGCGUUAUCCGGAUUCAUUGGGUUUAAAGGGUGCGUAGGCGGAAUAUUAAGUCAGUGGUGAAAUCUUGCAGCUUAACUGUAAAACUGCCAUUGAUACUGAUGUUCUUGAGUACAUUUGAUGUGGGCGGAAUAUGUCAUGUAGCGGUGAAAUGCUUAGAUAUGACAUAGAACACCGAUUGCGAAGGCAGCUCACAAAACUGUAACUGACGCUGAUGCACGAAAGCGUGGGGAUCAAACAGG